GAAGUGGGCCAGACCGCCGCUGGCACACCGGCCGAAAGGCCGUGCUGGAGGAAGGUCCGGACUGCACAGGGCAGCGCAGCAGCCAACGGCUGUCCACCGCAAGGUGAGGAUCAGAGCAACAGAGACGAGUCGGUGGGGUUCGCCCUGCCGGGUGAAACGGGCAAUCUCUGCGCGCAGCAACACCAAAUAGGCCAGCGUCGAUGUGGCUCCGCGGAGCUGGCGGGUAGGUGGCACCGAGCCGUUCCCGCGAGGGGCGGCCCAGAGGAAUGGCGGUCACGGCCGCGACGCCGCAAGGCGCCGCGGCUGCACAGAAUCCGGCCUAUCGGCCCGCUUCACAC
rnacentral:RNase_P_RNA from 1 species